UAUAUAAGAGCCCGUCCCCCGCAUGACGUUCUCUUGGAGUCGUUGCUAUCGCUUGACGAGAACCAUCUUCUCAUCAUGAGAGCGAAGUGGCGAAAGAAGCGCAUGCGCAGGCUGAAGCGUAAAAGGAGAAAGAUGAGGCAGAGGUCAAAG